UACGUAGGUGGCAAGCGUUAUCCGGAUUUACUGGGUGUAAAGGGCGUGUAGGCGGUUCUGCAAGUCGGGUGUGAAAUUUCCGGGCUUAACCCGGACGGGUCACCCGAAACUGCGGAACUUGAGUACUGGAGAGGAUAGUGGAAUUCCUAGUGUAGCGGUAAAAUGCGUAGAUAUUAGGAGGAACACCAGUGGCGAAGGCGGCUAUCUGGACAGUAACUGACGCUGAGGCGCGAAAGCGUGGGGAGCAAACAGGAUUAGAUACCCUGGUAGUCCCUGAGCGGG
rnacentral:rRNA from 1 species